UGGGGAAUUUUGGACAAUGGGGGCAACCCUGAUCCAGCAAUGCCGCGUGUGUGAAGAAGGCCUUCGGGUUGUAAAGCACUUUUGUCCGGAAAGAAAACGCCGUGGUUAAUACCCGUGGCGGAUGACGGUACCGGAAGAAUAAGCACCGGCUAACUACGUGCCAGCAGCCGCGGUAAUACGUAGGGUGCAAGCGUUAAUCGGAAUUACUGGGCGUAAAGCGUGCGCAGGCGGUCCGCUAAGACAGAUGUGAAAUCCCCGGGCUUAACCUGGGAACUGCAUUUGUGACUGGCGGGCUAGAGUAUGGCAGAGGGGGGUAGAAUUCCACGUGUAGCAGUGAAAUGCGUAGAGAUGUGGAGGAAUACCGAUGGCGAAGGCAGCCCCCUGGGCCAAUACUGACGCUCAUGCACGAAAAGCGUGGGGAGCAAACAGGAUUCAGAUACCCUGGUAGUCCACGCCCUAAACGAUGUCAACUA
rnacentral:rRNA from 1 species